UACGGAGGGGGCAAGCGUUAUCCGGAAUUAUUGGGCGUAAAGCGUCCGUAGGUGGCUCUUCAAGUCUGCUGUCAAAGAGUGGGGCUUAACCCUGCAAAGGCAGUGGAAACUGAAGCGCUAGAGUGCGGUAGGGGUAGAGGGAAUUCCCGGUGUAGCGGUGAAAUGCGUAGAGAUCGGGAAGAACAUCGGUGGCGAAAGCGCUCUACUGGACCGAUACUGACACUCAGGGACGAAAGCUAGGGGAGCGAAUGGG
rnacentral:rRNA from 1 species